GGCACAUAUACCCUCCAUAAAGCCUUGCACUUGGGUCUGGCCGGUUAGAACAUAGACAAAAGUCUGCAAUGUCAAUGCUGUCAAAGUCAUUGACGCAAAACUAUUUUCAUUUUCGAAACUAUCAGUUUUCAUAUAAAAUGAUUAAAUAACGAUUUAUGUUGUUGAAAUAGAUUUAUUGAUUAAUUUUUAAAAUUAAAAAUUCACCGCACAGUAUCUCCGCUCAAACUCGGUUAAAGUUUAAUCCAUUGUACUAAACUAAGAAACAACAAUUAUUUCAAGAGGGUGAACGUGAGCAAAAAAUUCUUGGGCGUCAUAUCAUUUCCUUGGAAAGGCUCAAAAUCAAAAGGCACGGAUCCGCCACAUAAUUGUGACUAGUUGUAGUUUCCCGGUGACCAUCAACAAGACCGCUGCACUGAGCUGUGGAGCAGAAAGUGUCCGACAAUCGGAUAGAUGUAAUAACAACUUUGUCUGUCAUAUAUUCAUGUAAUUUUUAGUUUUUUGGGCUGAUAUAUGUGAUAUGAUUACAAGUUACACUAAUUGCAAUUGUGGAGUAAAAUCAGAUGUGCCAAAGAUCAUGUUUUAGAUAUAUAAAAAUCUAUAUUAAAUGCAAUAAAUAGUAUAUGUAUAUAUAUAAAA